rnacentral:rRNA from 1 species
AGAGUUUGAUCCUGGCUCAGGAUGAACGCUGGCGGCGUGCCUAAUACAUGCAAGUCGAGCGAACGGACGAGAAGCUUGCUUCUCUGAUGUUAGCGGCGGACGGGUGAGUAACACGUGGAUAACCUACCUAUAAGACUGGGAUAACUUCGGGAAACCGGAGCUAAUACCGGAUAAUAUUUUGAACCGCAUGGUUCAAAAGUGAAAGACGGUCUUGCUGUCACUUAUAGAUGGAUCCGCGCUGCAUUAGCUAGUUGGUAAGGUAACGGCUUACCAAGGCAACGAUGCAUAGCCGACCUGAGAGGGUGAUCGGCCACACUGGAACUGAGACACGGUCCAGACUCCUACGGGAGGCAGCAGUAGGGAAUCUUCCGCAAUGGGCGAAAGCCUGACGGAGCAACGCCGCGUGAGUGAUGAAGGUCUUCGGAUCGUAAAACUCUGUUAUUAGGGAAGAACAUAUGUGUAAGUAACUGUGCACAUCUUGACGGUACCUAAUCAGAAAGCCACGGCUAACUACGUGCCAGCAGCCGCGGUAAUACGUAGGUGGCAAGCGUUAUCCGGAAUUAUUGGGCGUAAAGCGCGCGUAGGCGGUUUUUUAAGUCUGAUGUGAAAGCCCGCGGCUCAACCGUGGAGGGUCAUUGGAAACUGGAAAACUUGAGUGCAGAAGAGGAAAGUGGAAUUCCAUGUGUAGCGGUGAAAUGCGCAGAGAUAUGGAGGAACACCAGUGGCGAAGGCGACUUUCUGGUCUGUAACUGACGCAGAUGUGCGAAAGCGUGGGGAUCAAACAGGAUUAGAUACCCUGGUAGUCCACGCCGUAAACGAUGAGUGCUAAGUGUUAGGGGGUUUCCGCCCCUUAGUGCUGCAGCUAACGCAUUAAGCACUCCGCCUGGGGAGUACGACCGCAAGGUUGAAACUCAAAGGAAUUGACGGGGACCCGCACAAGCGGUGGAGCAUGUGGUUUAAUUCGAAGCAACGCGAAGAACCUUACCAAAUCUUGACAUCCUUUGACAACUCUAGAGAUAGAGCCUUCCUCUUCGGGGGACAAAGUGACAGGUGGUGCAUGGUUGUCGUCAGCUCGUGUCGUGAGAUGUUGGGUUAAGUCCCGCAACGAGCGCAACCCUUAAGCUUAGUUGCCAUCAUUAAGUUGGGCACUCUAAGUUGACUGCCGGUGACAAACCGGAGGAAGGUGGGGAUGACGUCAAAUCAUCAUGCCCCUUAUGAUUUGGGCUACACACGUGCUACAAUGGACAAUACAAAGGGCAGCGAAACCGCGAGGUCAAGCAAAUCCCAUAAAGUUGUUCUCAGUUCGGAUUGUAGUCUGCAACUCGACUACAUGAAGCUGGAAUCGCUAGUAAUCGUAGAUCAGCAUGCUACGGUGAAUACGUUCCCGGGUCUUGUACACACCGCCCGUCACACCACGAGAGUUUGUAACACCCGAAGCCGGUGGAGUAACCUUUUAGGAGCUAGCCGUCGAAGGUGGGACAAAUGAUUGGGGUGAAGUCGUAACAAGGUAGCCGUAUCGGAAGGUGCGGCUGGAUCACCU